rnacentral:rRNA from 1 species
GACAGAGGUGCCGAGCGUUAGGCGGAAUCACUGGGCUUAAAGCGUGUGUAGGCGGGUCGUUAAGUGUCUUGUGAAAUCCCACCGCUCACCGGUGGAACGGCUGGGCAUACUGGCGACCUUGAGAGGCCUAGGGGCAGACGGAACAAGCGGUGGAGCGGUGAAAUGCGUAGAUAUCGCUUGGAACGCCGACGGCGAAAGCAGUCUGCUGGGGGCCUUCUGACGCUGAGGAGCGAAAGCGUGGGGAGCGAACAGG